UACGUAGGUGGCAAGCGUUGUCCGGAUUUACUGGGCGUAAAGAGCGCGCAGGCGGUCGUUCAAGUCGCGUGUGAAAGCCCCCGGCUCAACUGGGGAGGGUCACGCGAUACUGAUCGACUCGAAGGCAGGAGAGGGUAGUGGAAUUCCCGGUGUAGCGGUGAAAUGCGCAGAUAUCAGGAGGAACACCGGUGGCGAAGGCGGGUCUCUGGGCCGAUACUGACGCUGAGGAGCGAAAGCGUGGGGAGCGAACAGG
rnacentral:rRNA from 1 species